rnacentral:tRNA from 1 species
GGGCUCAUAGCUCAGUUGGUAGAGCGUUUGCUUUGCAAGCAAAGGGUCCGGAGUUCGAGUCUCCGUGGGUCCA